CAUGUACUCCCUCCGUCCGAAAAUACUUGUCGGAGAAAUGGAUAAAAAAAGAUGUAUCUAGAAUUAAAAUACAUCUAGAUACAUCCAUUUCUCCGACAAGUAUUUCCAGACGGAGGGAGUAUGUA
rnacentral:pre_miRNA from 1 species